rnacentral:rRNA from 1 species
AGCGAACGUUAGCGGCGGGCCUAACACAUGCAAGUCGAGCGAGAAAGGGGCUUCGGCCCUUAGUAAAGCGGCGGACGGGUGAGUAACACGUAGGUAAUCUUCCCUUGAGCGGGGGACAACGAGCCGAAAGGCUCGCUAAUACCGCAUACGUUUCUCGGGACUCUGGUCCUGGGAAGGAAAGCUAGGCCGCAAGGUCCGGCACUCGAGGAGGAGCCUGCGUCGCAUCAGCUAGUUGGUGGGGUAACGGCCUACCAAGGCGAAGACGCGUAGCUGGUCUGAGAGGAUGAUCAGCCACACUGGGACUGAGACACGGCCCAGACUCCUACGGGAGGCAGCAGUGGGGAAUAUUGGACAAUGGGCGCAAGCCUGAUCCAGCCACGCCGCGUGAGUGAUGAAGGCCUUCGGGUCGUAAAGCUCUGUGGGGAGGGACGAACCGCCGUUGGUGCAUAGCCAACGGCAUGACGGUACCUCCUUAGCAAGCACCGGCUAACUUCGUGCCAGCAGCGCGGUAAGAC